GCGCUGCGCUGCGGUGCGAAGAGCCGGGCGGCGGCCAGAGCCCUCCCCGCGCUGCCAGUGGGACGCGGAGCCAGGGAUCCCCGGCUUUGCCCCGGGGCUGGGGUGCAACAGACUCUUAACUUGGUCGUCGCGCCCCGCCAACCGCCCCCGGGCAGGAAACGCCCAGAACCACCACCGCGCCGCGCUCCACAAAAGCCCCGGGAGUUCCAAGACGGGAGGGAUCGGGCGCGCUCCAGAGGCAGGAGGGUCCCCCACACCCUCAGGCUCAUGCCCAGCUCCCCCAUCGGGCAGCCCCCAGCCCCAUGAGGACCCUCAGGCCGGGGCGAGAGCCCGGCACAGCCCGGACCGAAAUUUUGCCGCUGCCUUAGAGCGUUAGACAGGAUGUGGCUGGGCCGCCGGGCCCUGUGCGCUCUGGUCCUUCUGCUCGCCUGCGCCUCGCUGGGGCUCCUGUACGCGAGCACCCGGGACGCGCCCGGCCUCCGGGUACCUCUUGCGCCGUGGGCGCCCCCGCAAAGCCCCCGCAGGCCCGAGCUGCCAGAUCUUGCUCCUGAGCCCCGCUACGCACACAUCCCGGUCAGGAUCAAGGAGCAAGUAGUGGGGCUGCUGGCUUGGAACAACUGCAGUUGUGAGUCCAGUGGGGGGGGCCUCCCCCUCCCCUUCCAGAAACAAGUCCGAGCUAUUGACCUCACCAAGGCCUUUGACCCUGCAGAGCUGAGGGCUGCCUCUGCCACAAGAGAGCAGGAGUUCCAGGCCUUUCUGUCGAGGAGCCAGUCCCCAGCUGACCAGCUGCUCAUAGCCCCUGCCAACUCCCCGCUCCAGUACCCCCUACAGGGUGUGGAAGUUCAGCCCCUCAGGAGCAUCUUGGUGCCAGGGCUGAGCCUUCAGGCAGCUUCUGGUCAGGAGGUAUACCAGGUGAACCUGACUGCCUCCCUAGGCACCUGGGACGUGGCAGGGGAAGUGACUGGAGUUACUCUCACUGGAGAGGGUCAGGCAGAUCUCACCCUUGUCAGCCCAGGGCUGGACCAACUCAACAGGCAACUACAACUGGUCACUUACAGCAGCCGAAGCUACCAGACCAACACAGCAGACACAGUCCGGUUCUCCACCGAGGGACAUGAGGCUGCUUUCACUAUCCGCAUAAGACACCCGCCCAACCCUCGGCUGUACCCACCUGGGUCUCUACCCCAGGGAGCCCAGUACAACAUCAGUGCUCUAGUCACGAUUGCCACCAAGACCUUCCUCCGUUAUGAUCGGCUACGGGCUCUCAUCACCAGUAUCCGCCGCUUCUACCCAACGGUUACCGUGGUCAUCGCUGACGACAGCGACAAGCCAGAGCGCGUUAGUGGCCCCUACGUGGAACACUAUCUCAUGCCCUUCGGCAAGGGCUGGUUCGCAGGCCGGAACCUGGCCGUGUCCCAAGUAACCACCAAGUACGUGCUGUGGGUGGACGACGACUUCGUCUUCACGGCGCGGACGCGGCUGGAGAGGCUUGUGGACGUGCUGGAGCGGACGCCGCUGGACCUGGUAGGGCAGGGGCUGCAGGAUGUGGGGGUGGAGAAGGGCCUUGAACAGGCUAAGGCCACAGCGGGGGCCCUGCGGCCAGGAACGGCCAGCCCUAGGACAAAGAGAGAACCACGAAGUGGGGCCUGGGAACUGUCUGGGUCCUGCAGGGGUGAAGCGGAAGAGGAUGGGUCAGGGGUACCCCCGAAGGCACCGGAGCGCAGACCUUGACUCCUUCGGGUCCCCUAUCCCAGGCCCGCCUGGAGGCAACCUCCCUCUCCCUGCAGGUGGGGGGCGCGGUGCGCGAGAUCUCCGGCUUUGCCACCACUUAUCGGCAGCUGCUGAGCGUGGAGCCCGGCGCCCCAGGCCUCGGGAACUGCCUCCGGCAAAGGCGCGGCUUCCACCACGAGCUCGUCGGCUUCCCGGGCUGCGUGGUCACCGACGGCGUGGUUAACUUCUUCCUGGCGCGGACUGACAAGGUGCGCGAGGUCGGUUUCGACCCCCGCCUCAGCCGCGUGGCUCAUCUGGAAUUCUUCUUGGAUGGGCUUGGUUCCCUUCGGGUUGGCUCCUGCUCCGACGUCGUGGUGGAUCAUGCAUCCAAACUGAAGCUGCCUUGGACAUCAAGGGAUGCCGGGGCAGAGACUUACGCCCGGUACCGUUACCCAGGAUCACUGGACGAGAGCCAGAUGGCCAAACACCGGCUGCUCUUCUUCAAACACCGGCUGCAGUGCAUGACCUCCCAGUGAUGGCCCGCUGGGGAUUUCUGACUGUCAGGCUGGGCCUGCCUCCUUGUCCCUGCCAGGAAUUUCCAACAAACCCCACCACCCUGUGAGCACUCUACUGGCUGUCCCUGAGCCUCUAGUUCCUCACUCUUCCUUUUCAGAACCUGAUGCCCAGUAGGGGUUGUCCUGGUGACACCCCUCCUUUUUCCAGUGCCCAGAGGCCUGGUGGAGCCAUAACCUCUCCCACAGCCAGUGCCAAGUCCUCCCCCUGCCCAUUCUCAUGGGGCAGGAAAUGGGGGGAUCACUUUCCAAGUGCCAAAGAGCCCAGAGGGACUCUAAGAACCUAAGGUGGAAACACUGUCCUCUCAUCUUGGGACCGAGGGGGUGGGGAAGUUCCCCAACACAUAAUCCCAAGACUGUGCCCCUCAUCCGCAUCUUCAGAUCCAGUACUCUGUGUACCUGCUCCAGCCCCACCCCCACAGAGAGAACUUGUGGCUCUGGGGCUGGGGUGAGGGCUGGUGGUUGGUGAAAGCCAUUCUUAGUUGUGUCUCUGCAAUGCUGUGGGCACAAAAGAAGGGGCACCAGAGUCCCUGUGCAAACACCUAGACUCACUUUAUGGAUUCCAAAGCUCUCAGCUUCAUUUUAUUAGUUACGUUAGGUAAGGGGGUUCAAGGGUCAUGGUCCUCAUCACACACAUGUCAUCAGGGCCCUCUGCACUCCACAUGAUGAGGUCAGACCCACACGGUGCAAAUCUUUGGGUCAGUGAGCUCCUGGAGAAGAGAGGAGAAAUGUCAGGAAUAGAUUAGGCACCCCUCUUCCUUAAUGAAAUGUGGCAGUCCUCUCAGGGGUACCCCACCUACUUAGGGAUCUGAGUUCUUCAGUUCCUCACCCAUAGCUCAGCCCGGGCUCCCUGAUUUGGUCUUCAAUCUACUAUUCAUUCUGUCCCCACCCUUUUCUUCUUGAUCUUCCUCAGACCCUUUCCCAAACCCCUCUCCCUGGGUCUCCAGCCACUUACCCCUGCCUCACUUGCCGCAGCCCAGUGCCUCCCAGCUCCCACUCCUGGUGCUACUGCCCCUUACCAGGCUCCCCAGGGCAUAAGCAGCUGCAUCCUGCACACUCACAAACAGCUGAUCUGGGGUCACCCUGUCCAGGAGUCCUGCCCGGGUCAGUGUCCCCUGCACCAAGGCUACGUGGGGAGGGUGUCAGACUCUGAGACCCUAAGUCCACACCGGGUCCUUUUCCCUCCCGCAGGUGUCCAGUCAUUGCCCAGGCACUGGGCCCCGCUCUUCUCCACACAUCUCACCAUUACACUGAGCCAGGAGGAGGCGGAUCCUAGCAUCUCGACAUCGGCUGGCCAGCUGCAGGGAUGGGGCAAAGGGGUUAAGUCCCAGAUCAGAGGGUAUGAGUGAGAUGCUAAGGGGUUUCUCCUCAACCUACCCUCUCCCUCACCUGCACCACUUCUCUGGCCCCAGCAGCAUCUGCAAAGGUGACACCACUGAAGUCUAGGACCACCACCCUGACAGGCUCAGCAACUAGAAUGGGAGAAGACAGGAGUACCCAGGUGUCACCAUGCAACAUGCCCAAAUCUUCCUUCUUGUCACCCCAUCUCACCUGCAACCAUUGGGCCAUCUGGCUUUGAAGUCUCCUAUAAGUAAAGAAGGGCAGUCACCACUCCCGAAACACAGCAUGAACAUGCACCCCUUGAGCACAAGGAUCCCCCUCAGAACACCCACCUGCCUCCCACUCCCUGAGGAUCCACAUCCCUCCUAAACCAAGCUCCUUCACCUUUUCUCCUUCUCCGAGCCCCAGGUGCCACUCCAGGUUGCGGCGAAACUGCCCAUGGGUCCCAAAGUACAGUGGUGUUGGAUAGCUCAGGAUGCAGAGCCCCGGGACCUGGAGGAGCUAAGAGGUCAAAGGAUCAGAGAAAUGUCUGGGGCUAAUCUUCCCUUCCGUCUUUGGCUGCAGCCCACCCACCUUGGGGCUUCCUCUGAGUGGUCUGUAGAGCUCUGUCCCCUCAGCCUGUCCAAGUGCCAGGCACUACACCCUAGGGAAGAAGGUGGGGCCAGAUUUCCAGCUUAGCCUGGCCUGGCUGGAGAGUCACCCCAAGCACCUCAUUCUCUUCCCCUGCCCCGACCUCAACUCCACUCAUCUCUAUGCCCACCUCCGGGUGCGGCAGACCACAGUCAUCAUGGAGAAGACCACACCCACAGCCAGGCCCAAAUCCACACUCAGGGUCACUACAGCCACCCAGGUGACCAUCCACACAGCCUGCAGGAUAGGGAUAGGGGUGGAUUGCCCAAAAGAAAAGCCAGGCCAUCACUGCUGGGUAAAGAGAUCCAGGGCAGUGACUACCAAGGCAAGUGAUGGGGAGAGAUGACCCAGGAAGUAGAAAACAUGACAGAAGGAAACAACAGGGUUGAUUCAAUGGGACACACACCAAAUGUAAUGACCCGCACCAGUUGGGAAGUUACAAAUAUUCAGGUCAAAGGGGUUCAAACCCCAUCCUUUCCCUUGCCUGUGAGUAAAGCAUACUAGGAGUUAUGUUUGCUGGGGGAGUGGGUGGGUUGCAGAACUUAAGACCAGGACAAUUAGGUUUGGUUCAGGGCAGAGGCUGGGGAUGCUAACAAGAUGAGAGGGGGCAAUCUGGGGGUAAUGGCAUUUCUCACAAAGUCCACUCGGCUGAUGUGCCAUAGUUGUGGAAGUUCCUGCAUCUGGCAGAACACCUGGCGCAUGCUGGAGAUGUUGAUGCAAGCCAGGACAGCCUUGAGGCAGAGGAGGUGGGCUGACUACCUCGAUGUCCUGGAAUACAGCUACCCCUCCCAGCCAUGCUCAUGCCUCCUCUGCUCCUUACCUUGGGCAGAUAGUAAAAGAAGGGCCCCAGCCACAGCAGCACCGACAGGACCACUGUGCAGGAGAAGAGGCCUGCCAGCUAGAGAAAAGGAGGAACAGGAGCAAAAAAGGAAGAGAGCCUCCCACCCCCACAUGAGAGCUGGUCUUCCUGCCCACUCUGCCUAAUCUUCCUCGGAAGUCUCCCUUCUCCCAAAUCUCCUUCCACACAACCCCCUUCUUAAUAUUCUGCCAUUCACAUCUAACCCUCCCGCUCCCCCCAAUUAAUUAAAUGCCCAUUAUUCACCAGUCUCCUUGUAGAUGUCCGUUGUUCAAGUUCCCCAGUUUUGCAGCCCACCUCCACCUUAAAAGCCACUGUUGGGUUACCCUAUAAGCAGGGUAUAUGUGUUUAGGGCACCAGCAAAGUAAGGGAAACCAAAAAUAUUAGGGGGAGACUUUGAUAUGUGAUAUUCCUUUUAAAAGACAAUGUCAUUGUGUGAAAAAAAUAAGAAUUUUAUCUCAAGUUU
rnacentral:sRNA from 1 species